rnacentral:rRNA from 1 species
GACGAACGCUGGCGGCGUGCUUAACACAUGCAAGUCGAACGGUAAGGCCCUUCGGGGUACACGAGUGGCGAACGGGUGAGUAACACGUGGGUGAUCUGCCCUGCACUUCGGGAUAAGCCUGGGAAACUGGGUCUAAUACCGGAUAGGACCCUGGGAUGCAUGUCCUGGGGUGGAAAGCUUUUGCGGUGUGGGAUGGGCCCGCGGCCUAUCAGCUUGUUGGUGGGGUGACGGCCUGCCAAGGCGACGACGGGUAGCCGGCCUGAGAGGGUGACCGGCCACACUGGGACUGAGAUACGGCCCAGACUCCUACGGGAGGCAGCAGUGGGGAAUAUUGCACAAUGGGCGCAAGCCUGAUGCAGCGACGCCGCGUGAGGGAUGACGGCCUUCGGGUUGUAAACCUCUUUCAGCACCGACGAAGCGCAAGUGACGGUAGGUGCAGAAGAAGGACCGGCCAACUACGUGCCAGCCGCCGCAGUAA